UCUCUAUGAACUACAUCCCUCUUUUCUCAUCUAGCUUUCCAUUUACAGCCCAUAUCCUUGCUUUCAUUUCUAUACAAAGCAUUACUCAUCUUCUAUUCUGAAAUUUUCUGCCGUGAAAACUAUGAUGACUGGCUACCAAUAUGGAUCAAUCGCUUUCCUUUUUGGGUUUUGGGCUGCUGCUCUGCUCCUCUCUUGAAGGCUUAAUUCAAGGUGAUGGCAUGGGAUGGGAUGCAUAUUUAGGUUUGUUGGAUCCUUUACUUGUUCUUUUCAUCAUAAAUUGUAAAGGGAUGAAGAACCCUCUGCUGUUUGUGCUUGGGAUUAUAGAAAAUAUUGCUCAAUUUUGGAGGUUUCUUCCAAUAUUUUAAUU